rnacentral:rRNA from 1 species
GGGCUGCAGUCAAGAAUAUUCCCCAAUGGCCGAAAGGCUGAGGGAGCGACGCCGCGUGCAUGAUGAAGCCCUUCGGGGUGUAAAGUGCUUUUAAUUGGGACGAAACAAUGACGGUACCAAUUGAAUAAGGGGCUGCUAAACUCGUGCCAGCAGCAGCGGUAAUACGAGUGCCCCAAGCGUUAUCCGGAUUUAUUGGGCGUAAAGCGUACGUAGGCGGUUUAUCGCAUCUCCUGUUAAAUCUCGAGGCUCAACCUCGAGGCCGCGGGAGAGAUGGCUAAACUAGAGACCGGGAGAGGCAAGUGGAAUUGCUGGUGUAGGGGUUAAAUCCGUUAAUAUCAGCAAGAACACCUAAUGUGAAGACAGCUUGCUAGAACGGUUCUGACGCUAAGGUACGAAAGCGUGGGGAGCGAAUGGGAUUAGAUACCCCGGUAGUC